GAACGAGAAGCCACCUUCGGGUGGUGGACAGUGGCAGACGGGUGAGUAACGCGUGGGAACGUGCCUUUCAGUUCGGGAUAACCCAGGGAAACUUGGGCUAAUACCGGAUACGCCCUCCGGGGGAAAGAUUCAUUGCCGAAAGAUCGGCCCGCGUCGGAUUAGCUAGUUGGUGGGGUAAUGGCCUACCAAGGCGACGAUCCGUAGCUGGUCUGAGAGGAUGACCAGCCACACUGGGACUGAGACACGGCCCAGACUCCUACGGGAGGCAGCAGUGGGGAAUAUUGGACAAUGGGCGAAAGCCUGAUCCAGCCAUGCCGCGUGGGUGAAGAAGGCCCUAGGGUUGUAAACCCCUUUCAGCGGGGAAGAUAAUGACGGUACCCGCAGAAGAAGCCCCGGCUAACUCCGUG
rnacentral:rRNA from 1 species